GAUGAAGAACGCAGCGAAAUGCGAUAAGUAAUGUGAAUUGCAGAAUUCAGUGAAUCAUCGAAUCUUUGAACGCACAUUGCGCCCCCUGGUAUUCCGGGGGGCAUGCCUGUCCGAGCGUCAUUACAACCCUCAAGCUCAGCUUGGUAUUGGGCCCCGCCGCUCCGGCGGGCCCUAAAGUCAGUGGCGGUGCCGUCCGGCUCCGAGCGUAGUAAUUCUUCUCGCUCUGGAGGUCCGGUCGUGUGCUCGCCAGCAACCCCCAAUUUUUUUCAGGUUGACCUCGGAUCAAGUAGGGAUACCCGCUGAACUUAAGCAUAUCAAUAAGCGGAGGA
rnacentral:misc_RNA from 1 species